CGACGAAUAUUGCACAAUGGGCGCAAGCCUGAUGCAGCGACGCCGCGUGUGGGAGGAAGCCCCUCGGGGUGUAAACCACUGUCAGGGACCACCAAGCGACCCGGGCGAAUAGUCCGGGAAGUUGAGGAAUCCCAGAGGAAGUCACGGCUAACUUCGUGCCAGCAGCCGCGGUAAGACGAAGGUGGCAAGCGUUGUUCGGAAUCACUGGGCUUAAAGAGCACGUAGGCGGAUUGUCAAGCACCUUGUGAAAUCCCUCGGCUUAACCGAGGAAUUGCUUGGUGAACUGGCAGUCUUGAGGCAGGUAGAGGCACACGGAACUCUUGGUGGAGCGGUGGAAUGCGUAGAUAUCAAGAGGAACGCCAGAGGCGAAAGCGGUGUGCUGGGCCUGACCUGACGCUGAGGUGCGAAAGCCAGGGGAGCAAACG
rnacentral:rRNA from 1 species